GCUGGGUGCAGUGGUGGACACCUGUAAUCCUAGUAACACAGGAAGCUGAUGCAGGAGAAUCACCAGUUCAAGGCCAGCCUCAGCAAUUUAGUGAAACCCUGUCUCAA
rnacentral:sRNA from 1 species